rnacentral:rRNA from 1 species
GCUGGAAUUGCUAGUAAUGGCAGGUCAGCAUACUGCCGUGAAUACGUUCCCGGGCCUUGUACACACCGCCCGUCACACCAUGAGAGUUGGGAAUACCCGAAGCCUAUGAGCCAACUUUAAAGAGGCAACAGUCGAAGGUAGAAUCAAUGAUUGGGGUGAAGUCGUAACAAGGUAAC